rnacentral:rRNA from 1 species
AUUUAAAAUGUUAUUUUUUUUAUUAAUUUAAUUUAUAUUUAAAAUAAAAAUAUUAUUUUUUAUUAUUAUUUAGAAAAAAUUUUUUUUAUAAUAGUUUACUAGUACUGUGAAGGGAUAAUUAAAGUAUAAAAAAGAAAAAUUUAUUUUUUGUACCUUGUGUCUCAGGGUUGAUUAAAAAUAUAAAUUAUUUGAUUUUCUCGAAUUUAAAAGAGUUAUUAUUAUAUUAUUUUAAUAGUAAAAUAAUUAUUUUUAAUAUAAUGAUGGCAAUGAAACGUUAUUCGUUUUUAAAUAUAUCUAGUUUUUCAAGAAAUGAAUUUAAUUUUGUUACUAAUAUAUUAAAAUUUUGAUUUUUAAAGGUUUUUAUUUUAGUAAAUAAUAUUCUAUGGGAUGAGCUUUAGAAUAAAUUAUUAUAAAAGUUAAUUAUUGAUUUAGUUUUUUAGGAUUAAAAGUUUCUAUUAUUGAAAUAAUGUUAUAAUUGUUCUAAGUAAAUUUAUUAUUUAUAUAUUUUUUAAAUUUUUAUUGAAAUUUAUUAUUUAAUUGUACUUUUUUAGUAAUUAUGAUUAGAUUAGUAUAAUUUGUUUUAAUUUUAAUUAAUUAUUUUAAGGUUAAAAAAAGGAAUUCGGCAAAUGAUUUUUCACCUGUUUAUUAAAAACAUGGCCUUUUGAUAAUAAUUUAAGGUCUAGCCUGCCCCCUGAGGUUUUAAAUGGCCGCGGUAUUUUGACCGUGCGAAGGUAGCAUAAUAAUUAGUUUUUUAAUUGAAAGCUGGAAUGAAUGGUUUGAUGAGAAAAUAGCUGUCUCUUUUUAAUUUUUUAGAAUUUUAUUUUUAAGUGAAAAAGCUUAAAUUUUAUUAAAAGACGAGAAGACCCUAUAGAGUUUAAUUAUUUAUAAAUUUCUUUUUUUUAGAAUUUUUAUAUUGAAUUUUAUUGAUAAUUUGGUUGGGGUGAUUGAAAAAUUUAUUUAACUUUUUUUUAAUAAAUACAUUUAUUUAUGAAUAAUUGAUCCAUAUGUUAUGAUUAUAAGAUUAAAUUACCUUAGGGAUAACAGCGUAAUUUUUCUUGAGAGUUCUUAUCGAAAGAAAAGUUUGCGACCUCGAUGUUGGAUUAAAAUAUAAUUUUGGUGCAGAAGCUGAAAUGUUGGGUCUGUUCGACCUUUAAAAUUUUACAUGAUCUGAGUUUAAACCGGCGUGAGCCAGGUUGGUUUCUAUCUUUAAUUAUCUAAAACAUUUUAGUACGAGAGGACCAAGUGUUUAAUAAAAUAUUUUUUUUUCUGAAUUUUAUU